AUGGGGACUCUCGUCUCUAUCACG
rnacentral:siRNA from 1 species